UCAAUAGAGGUAGAAAGGUGGUCAGUUGAGUGUAGUCAUCCUGGGGGGAUAAGAUUGGUUUAAGAGUCUUGGCUUAAUAUUAGUGUCUGUCUCUGUAGCUGCUUGACUUGUUCAUUCUUUCUGCUGAAGUCACAACAGUUCAGCUGGGCUUCCACCAUGAAAGUAAUAAGUCUACAGACCAAGUUGUAUUGUCGUUAGUGUUCUAAUCAGCCAGGGUACACUUACCACUCACAUUUCAGGUAUUUCCAAAUUAUAGGGAAUAUUACAGCUAUUGCCAGGGUGAGAAAUGCAGAAGAGAUAUGUCUUGGUCCACUGUUGCAACCAUCAUAUGAAACACAAACCUUGGCUAGUGGUAGCUAUAAUCAAGAAGAACUGAUAGAGACUGACUCACUGAUUCCUCUGGCUUUUGGCCUAAAUCUAGUCAAUCAAAAAAAAGGUUUCCAAGUAUAAAAUACCAUACCAUAUGUUGACUAAGCAUAUGUUUUGAGGCUUAAAAGUCAUUGGAGAUUUCAUAUUCCUAACUUUGGUAAGUUGCUUUUCCUGGGUAAUAUUAUUUUCUUAGUUUUUGUAAAUAUGCUUCCUCAAUAUUGGGGAUCUCUAAAUUACAAAAUUUUCCCAAUUCUUUGUGAUUGUUUAAGGCUAAAUAAUGCAUUUGUUGUUAUAAUAUAAUGUACCUUUGCAAAAAUAGUGGUAAUUAAUUUCAUCUAAAAAUUAAUGUAGAAGACCUCCUUUGUUUCCAAUCCUGUGCUAGGUGCUAGACUGAAUUUGUAGACUUGAAUCUGUAGCUUAUAUUGUUUAUAUCCUUUUUUAUUUUUCUAUUUCAUUACAAAUAAAGUGGUUGGACAUUCCUGCAAUUUUCCACAGUUCAUAGAUAGUUAAGUGAUAUCUAGAUAGAUAGAUGGAUGGAUGUAUAGAUAGAUAGAUAAUAAUGUCAGAAAGGAGAGAAAUUUAAAAGCAGCACAACCAAGCAAGCUACCUUUUUUUUUCAUUUUCAAAAUAAUUUUUCAGGUCUAGGGAAAUUUUGACAUGAGUUAAAACCUUUCUCAACUUAGUGAACCAAACUUAAUUCAGAAGAUCACUCUGAAUCUUAUGGAUCAUGACAGUAUCAGAGGGGCUGUAUUUUUACAUGGAUAAACCAUUUCAGGAGAAUUUCUACAAUGUAUUAGACACAAACAUAUCUUUCACUUUCAGACGCUAAUGUUUUAUCUUGCUCCCUUGAUAUAUGUUCAGUACAUGCAUGUAUUUUGGCCUUAUAAGAAAUAUCUACUUUCAAAUAACAUUACAUUGUCUGCACAUUAGCUUAUCCGAAUAUGCUGUAAAGCAGAGUCUAUCCCGUGCUUCAGCGUUCAUUUUCUUUGGAGAACGUCUCAUUUACAGCUUUAGUUUGCCAUAGGGGAAAUGAUGGGGUGUGUUAAGCUCCUUCAGUGGUGAUAGUUAUAUUUAUUUGGGGACUUAUUGUGUUUUACUUUUUUUAUAGCUUUGCAUAAGAGAACCUCAAAUGUACUUCUCUUCUUACUUCCCUGGGGUAGGCAGCAGAAGAUAUGGAGAUUCAGAGCCUUAAGACAGCAAAAGGGCAAUGAUGGGAGGAGCAGCAUCUAAUAGACAAUUACAGGACAAGUGCCAUUGUUGUACAUGCAUUUUCCCUCAUUCAGGCAAUUCAUGCACAAAUUAGAAACUAGUUUUUGUUUUUGUUUGUCUCUUAGUGCUAAUCCCAGUUGUGAAGAGUAAAGAGGCACUUUCCAUCCCUUUGCCAAACAUUUCCUUUCAGAGAACAUGGGAAAUAUUCAGAGUUAUUGCUAUAAGUUUUGCUUGAGUGCUUAUUUUUUAAUUCAUAUUUAUACCGUGCUUUUUUACACAAAGGACUCGAGGCAUUCUCUAGAAUCUGUAAAAAAAUGAAUAUAUGUUAAUUAGCUUACAUCCAGUUAUUUUAAAUUUAACAAUACUUAGUUUGUACUGGUUUGUUUUAUAAUGCAAUUUACAAUACUUUUAUGGUAUAUUUGGUAAGUGGUCUUUAAGAUACAGCCAUGUAUAUUUUAAUUAUAUAUGAAUUUAUGUAGAAUAAUAAAAUACAGUAGAUAUUUUCUGCAAUGUAAAUUUAUAUUUGAUGAUCCUGACUCACAACUGGGAGAUGAAGUAAUGCGGAUCAGCCAAAGCAUGCAGAUAUAUGAAUUUAUUAAAUAAUCUGUAUUUCUGUAAUUCUGAUUGCAUAGGAUGACAUCUUUAAAAUUAGAAGCUAAUUUUUCAGAAAACAUGAAAUUUAAUUUUUUUCAGCCUUUUCAAUGUGCAUUGAAUCACUGUUAUCAAAAUAAUUUUAUUUUAAAUAUGCUUGCCUAGAAUAUUUUAUCACGCCUCUGCUUUUUCCUGAAGUUAUUCCCUUUAUAGAUCACAUGAUAGCAAAUCACCUUUCACCAAUCAUGCAAAGCAAAAGAUCUUCAAAAUUCUAAGCAUUUAUCCCUCAUGAGAGAUGUUACCUCGUGCUGUUGGAUCUUUCCAUGCAAAUUAGGUUUCUUCCUCAUUCUACAUCAGCAUUGAA
rnacentral:lncRNA from 1 species